ensembl:rRNA 5S_rRNA 5S ribosomal RNA
GUCUACAGCCAUAGCACCCUGAACACGCCUGAUCUUGUCUGAUGUUACAAGCUAAGCAGGGAUUGGCCUGGUUAGUACUUAUAUGGGAGACUGCCUGGGAAUACUGGGUGCUGUAGGCU